CCUACGGGAGGCAGCAGUGAGGAAUAUUGGUCAAUGGGCGCUAGCCUGAACCAGCCAAGUCGCGUGAAGGAUGACGGCCCUAUGUGUUGUAAACUUCUUUUGUAUGGGAAUAAAGUGCAGUAUGUAUACUGCUUUGCAUGUACCUUAUGAAUAAGGAUCGGCUAACUCCGUGCCAGCAGCCGCGGUAAUACGGAGGAUCCGAGCGUUAUCCGGAUUUAUUGGGUUUAAAGGGAGCGUAGGCGGGUUGUUAAGUCAGUGGUGAAAGUUUGCGGCACAACCGUAAAAUUGCAGUUGAUACUGGCAGCCUUGAGUACAGUAGAGGUAGGCGGAAUUCGGGGUGUAGCGGUGAAAUGCUUAGAUAUCACGAAGAACUCCGAUUGCGAAGGCAGCCUGCUGGACUGUAACUGACGCUGAUGCUCGAAAGUGUGGGUAUCAAACAGGAUUAGAUACCCGUGUAGUC
rnacentral:rRNA from 1 species